GAGGAGGAACUGGAAAACAGAACCACGGAGACAGGAGAAAAGCCUGACCAGAGCCGAAGGACUGGCUGGACCACACAUCUGAAGCGAGGUGCCCCUUAGCAGAGACUGUCAACUUAGAACAGGCAGAGGGACCCUGCUGCAGUCAGCAGCCAAUUCUCCGAGAUUAGCCCAGAUCUCUCUAAGGUAUCCUCUUCCCUUCUCCCUGGGAACCUGACCUAGGAUUGCAGAUUGUUUUUAUAAAGCAAACCUCAGCUCUAACCUACAGACAGGUGAGUUCACACAUCGAAUGCCAGCAGAGCUUUUCUCUUAUGCUGCGGCAACAGCCUUUGGUUGGGAGCCAGGAAAGGGCACGGCUAUGUUGUUGGCAGCCUCUGUUCUGCUGAGUCAAGCAAACGUUGGUCUGCUCUGCUCUUCCUUUGGAGCUGCAUUCGGCCUGCUCUAACUGCUAAGGUAACUCGGUGGUUCCCACUUGGACCAAGCCAUCUUCUACCAUUGUGAAAUCACUGCCACCCUCCCAGCUGCCCACUGCCCCCUCCCUCCCAUAACAUUGCCAUUUAGUUUUGCCUUUGAUAAACUGUGACACACUGUUCUCAGUUCUCAUGGGUACAGUUCUGAAACUCAAAGGACUGUUAACAUGUUUUUAAUUUUAUAUUGAUGCUUUAAAGUUCUUCAAAGAGAAUGCUUUUUCAAAA
rnacentral:lncRNA from 1 species